UGGGGAAUAUUGGACAAUGGGCGCAAGCCUGAUCCAGCAAUGCCGCGUGUGUGAAGAAGGCCUGAGGGUUGUAAAGCACUUUCAGUGGGGAGAAAGAGCCUAGCGUUAAUACCGCUAGAGGAUGAUGUUACCCACAGAAGAAGCACCGGCUAACUCUGUGCCAGCAGCCGCGGUAAUACAGAGGGUGCGAGCGUUAAUCGGAAUUACUGGGCGUAAAGGGUGCGUAGGUGGUUUGGUAAGUUAGAUGUGAAAUUCCUGGGCUUAACCUGGGGACUGCGUCUGAUACUGCCAAGCUAGAGUACUGUAGAGGAAAGUGGAAUUUCCGGUGUAGCGGUGAAAUGCGUAGAUAUCGGAAGGAACAUCAGUGGCGAAGGCGACUUUCUGGACAGAUACUGACACUGAGGCACGAAAGCAUGGGGAGCAAACAGG
rnacentral:rRNA from 1 species